rnacentral:rRNA from 1 species
CGGCGAACGGGUGAGUAAUGCUUGGGAAUCUGCCCAUUAGUGGGGAACAACCAGCCGAAAGGUUGGCUAAUACCGCAUACGCCCUACGGGGGAAAGCGGGGGAUCGCAAGACCUCGCGCUAAUGGAUGAGCCCAAGUCGGAUUAGCUUGUUGGUAGGGUAACGGCCUACCAAGGCGACAAUCCGUAGCUGGUCUGAGAGGACGACCAGCCACACUGGGACUGAGACACGGCCCAG